AUUGUAUAAAAUUUUAACAGUGAAGCACAACAAGCACAAGAUUGCGAAGCGUGCCGCCGUUCAGGUAGAAACCAUGAAAGAUUACAUCAAAUUUCUGUUGCGCGGCAACAAAACAAAAGACGACGACACCAACACCGACCCGUACAGGACUGGCAACAUCACUUUAGGCGUGGUGAUGGAAAAAAAACUUUAUCGGAAAUCUCCAGCAGACGUUCACGAACAUCUUUGAUGUCGCCAGCAUGCCAUCCAGUCCUGAAAUAGAUUAUCUCCGCCUACAGAAAUUCAACGUUACUUAUCUCAAUCCGACAGAUAAAUUGUCAUCAAAUAUCAACGCUGUCCUAUCUAUUUUGCCCUGCGACGUUCUUACCCGUUUCGACAAGAAUCUCGCCAGCCUCCCGAUCCUCCACAUCGCCAUUACAAGCGAUAAUUGUCCUCGAAUCACUCGUUGGGCCGUUUUGAUGGUACCGGUG